rnacentral:rRNA from 1 species
GAUGAACGCUGGCGGCGUGCUUAACACAUGCAAGUCGAACGAUGAAGCCCAGCUUGCUGGGUGGAUUAGUGGCGAACGGGUGAGUAACACGUGAGUAACCUGCCCUUGACUCUGGGAUAAGCCCGGGAAACUGGGUCUAAUACCGGAUAGGAGCGCCUGUCGCAUGACGGGUGUUGGAAAGAUUUUUCGGUCAUGGAUGGACUCGCGGCCUAUCAGCUUGUUGGUGUGGUAAUGGCUCACCAAGGCGACGACGGGUAGCCGGCCUGGGAGGGUGACCGGCCACACUGGGACUGAGACACGGCCCAGACUCCUACGGGAGGCAGCAGUGGGGAAUAUGGCACAAUGGGCGGAAGCCUGAUGCAGCGACGCCGCGGGAGGGAUGACGGCCUUCGGGUUGUAAACCGCUUUCAGUAGGGAAGAAGCGAAAGUGACGGUACCUGCAGAAGAAGCACCGGCUAACUACGUG